UACGUAGGGUGCAAGCGUUAAUCGGAAUUACUGGGCGUAAAGCGUGCGCAGGCGGCUUUGCAAGACAGAUGUGAAAUCCCCGGGCUUAACCUGGGAACUGCAUUUGUGACUGCAUGGCUGGAGUGCGGCAGAGGGGGAUGGAAUUCCGCGUGUAGCAGUGAAAUGCGUAGAUAUGCGGAGGAACACCGAUGGCGAGGACAAUCCCCUGGGCCUGCACUGACGCUCAUGCACGAAAGCGUGGGGAGCAAACAGG
rnacentral:rRNA from 1 species